AUGGAUGACAUACAAGAAGGUAUCACAAAAAGGAUGCAGGAAUUGAAAUCUGAAGCGAUGACACACUGUUUUCCUCGAGAAAUCAUACAUGAGAUACUAUUUAGGCUACCCGUUAAAUCUGUAAUCAAUUGCACCUCAGUGUGCAAGUCAUGGAGGUCCAUGAUCAUGAACAAAACCUUUAUUCGCGGCUACCUCAGCCCAAUUAAUAACUUGAACGACAAUCACCUCUUCCUAAUCCACAGGGUUGCUGGUAGGGAGGGCUGCAUUAUGCUACACAGAGCCAUCGUCCACGAUGUAAUAGAAGAGUGCAUUAUGAUAACUAGGCUUUCGAGGAGUACUCCAAGGUAG
rnacentral:lncRNA from 1 species